rnacentral:rRNA from 1 species
GUCUAUUUGAAGGUGCAUAUAGUCUAGCCUGCUCACUGACAUAAAUGUUAAAUAGCCGCGGUAUCUUGACCGUGCAAAGGUAGCAUAAUCAUUAGUUUUUUAAUUGGAAACUGGUAUGAAUGGUUGGACAAAGAAAAAUCUGUCUCUUUUAUUAAAAUUGAAUUUAACUUUUAAGUGAAAAGGCUUAAAUUUUCUAGAGGGACGAUAAGACCCUAUAAAGCUUUAUAAACUUGAUAAUUUCUGUGGAUUUAAAAGAUAAACAUGAUUUUGAGAAGUUUAUUUUGUUGGGGCGACAAAGGUAUAAUUAAAAUAACUGCCAACGGUUAUUUACAUUAAUUUUUGAUUUCAGAGUAAGUAAAUGAUCCCUUUUAAGGAUUAAAAGAUCAAGUUACUUUAGGGAUAACAGCGUAAUCUUUUUUGAGAGUACUUAUCAAAAAAAAGGUUUGCGACCUCGAUGUUGAAUUAAAAUGUCUUUAUGGUGCAGUAGCUAUAUAAGAGGGUCUGUUCGACCUUUAAUUUUUU